rnacentral:sRNA from 1 species
AGUUGGUCGGAGGUGUGAUCACUCCUCUGAUGAGUCCAUAACAUGAUGAAACCAGCG